rnacentral:misc_RNA from 1 species
UCCGAUUUAUCAUCGGCAGUCCCACUAAAGUGCCAAACUAAAUUGGGGCAAUUAGUAGUAAGGGUUGCGCUCGUUGCGUCACUUAAGACAACAUCUCACGACACGAGCUGACGACAGCCAUGCAGCACCUGUGUCCAGGUUCCCGAAGGCACUGUCUUAUCUCUAAGACAUUCCUGGCAUGUCAAGAGCAGGUAAGGUUUUUCGCGUUGCAUCGAAUUAAUCCACAUCAUCCACCGCUUGUGCGGGUCCCCGUCAAUUCCUUUGAGUUUUAAUCUUGCGACCGUACUCCCCAGGCGGUCUACUUCCUGCGUUAGCUUCGCUACUGAAUACUCUCAUACCCAACAGCAAGUAGACAUCGUUUAGGGCGUGGACUAC